AAAUUGAAGAGUUUGAUCAUGGCUCAGAUUGAACGCUGGCGGCAGGCCUAACACAUGCAAGUCGAACGGUAACAGGAAGCAGCUUGCUGCUUUGCUGACGAGUGGCGGACGGGUGAGUAAUGUCUGGGAAACUGCCUGAUGGAGGGGGAUAACUACUGGAAACGGUGGCUAAUACCGCAUAACGUCGCAAGACCAAAGAGGGGGACCUUCGGGCCUCUUGCCAUCAGAUGUGCCCAGAUGGGAUUAGCUUGUUGGUGAGGUAACGGCUCACCAAGGCGACGAUCCCUAGCUGGUCUGAGAGGAUGACUAGCCACACUGGAACUGAGACACGGUCCAGACUCCUACGGGAGGCAGCAGUGGGGAAUAUUGCACAAUGGGCGCAA
rnacentral:rRNA from 1 species